rnacentral:lncRNA from 1 species
UUAACAUUUUGAUUACAAUUCCACAUGAGUUUCUGUAGGGAUACACAACCAAAUCUUAUUAUUCUCUCCCUGCCUCCCCAAAUCUCAUGUCCUUCUCACUUUGCAAAAUACAGUGAUGCCUUACCUGCCAUUUCCCCAAGCCACUAUGCUUUUUUUACAGCCUGCAGAACCAUGAGCCAAUUAAACUCCUUUUUGUUAUGAUCAUACAGAAAAUUAGUACUGUGAAGUGAAGCUAUGAAAUGCCUUCAGUGACUUUUCCCCAUCGUCUUGGCUAAGACCCCCAAGGUCUUAACUCAUUCCAGCAUUUACUCAAAUGUCUGAAGCCCAAAGUCUCAUCUGAGACAAAGCUGCAGUCUCUUCUGCCCCUGAGCCUCUGAAAUACAAAGUAAGUUAACUACUUCCAAGGUACAACUGUCCAGGCAUUGAGUAAGAAUCCCCAGCCAAAAGGAAGAUUUUCACCAGAUAGAAGAAUAAAAUACAAGUGGGACUUACAGGUCCCAUGAAAAUCCAAAACCCAGCAGGCCAGUUUUUCAAACCUACAGCUCCAAAGUCAUCCUUUUUAAAUCCUUGUCCCACAUCCAGGGCACAAGGGUGUGAGGGCUGGGCUCCCAAGGCCUUGGGCAGCUCUGCACCUGUGGCUUUGCAGUGUUCAGCCCCCGCAGCUGCCCUCAUGGGCUGUGCUGGUGUUGAGUGCCUGGAGUUUUUAACCCAUGGAGGGUAUGAAACUUUUGUUGGGUCUAUGAAUCUGGGAUCUGCACGAUGGUGGCCUCCAGUGUGGGGGCUCCAACCUCAUAUUUUCUUUCUGCACUGCCCUAGUAGAGGUUUCCCAUGAGACUCUGCCUCUUGGGCAGCCUUCUGUCUGGACACCCAGGCAUUUUCAUACAUCUUCCGAAAUCUAUAUGGAGGCUCCCAAGUCUCUGGACUAGUGCUCCGUGCACCCACUGGCUUAACACUAUAUAGAAGUCACCAAGGCCUAUAGCUUGCACCCUCUGAAGCAGUGACCCAAGCUGUACCUGUACAUCUUUCAGCCAAGGUCAGAGCAGGAGCUGGGGCUGCUGGGAUGCAGGCAGCAGUGUCCUGAGGCUGCACACAGCAGCAGGGCCAUGGGGCUGGCCCAGGAAACCAUUCUUCUCUCCUAAGUCCCAGGGCUUGUGACAGCAAGGGCUGCUGCAAACAUCUCUGAAAUGCCUCCAAGGCUUUUCCCCACAUUGUCUUGGCUAUUAGCACUGGCCUCCAUUUUAUGCAAAUUUCUGGAGGCUUCAUGAAUUUUCCCCCUGAAAAUCAGCUUUUCUCUUUGACCACUUGGCCAGGCUGCAAAUGUUCCAAACUUUUGAGCUCUGCUUGCCAUUUAAAUAGAAAUUCCAACUUGAGGUCAUUUCCUCAGUCACACAUAAGAGCACAGGCUGUUUGAUGCAGACAGGAUCCCUCUUGUGCUAUGGUGCCUAGAAGUUCAUUCCACCAGAUAUGCACUAAAUUAUCACCCUCAAGUUCAAAGUUUCACAGAUCUUAAGGGCAAGAUCGCCCUGCAGCCACGUUCUUUGCUACAGCAAAACAAAAGUAACCUUGGCUCCUGUUCCCAGUAAGUUCCUC